UCCCAGUUCGGAUUGCAGGCUGCAACCCGCCUGCAUGAAGUUGGAAUCGCUAGUAAUCGCGGAUCAGCAUGCCGCGGUGAAUACGUUCCCGGGCCUUGUACACACCGCCCGUCACACCAUGAGAGUCGGGAACACCCGAAGUCCGUAGCCUAACCGCAAGGGGGCGCGGCCGAAGGUGGGUUCGAUAAUUGGGGUGAAGUCGUAACAAGGUAUC
rnacentral:rRNA from 1 species